rnacentral:rRNA from 1 species
GUAGUCCACGCCCUAAACGAUGAAUACUAGUCGUCAGAGUUCCUAAUUGCUUUGGUGACGUAGCUAACGCAUUAAGUAUUCCGCCUGGGAAUUACGGUCGCAAGAUUAAAACUCAAAGGAAUUGACGGGGGCCCGCACAAGCGGUGGAGCAUGUGGUUUAAUUCGAUGCUACGCGAAAAACCUUACCCGGUCUUGAAAUCCCGCGCUACCUAGAGAAAUUUAGGGUUCCCUUCGGGGACGCGGUGACAGGUGCUGCAUGGCUGUCGUCAGCUCGUGUUGUGAGAUGUUGGGUUAAGUCCCGCAACGAGCGCAACCCUCGCCAUUAGUUACCAGCAUUAAGUUGGGGACUCUAAUGGGACCGCUGGCCUAUAAGGCAGA